rnacentral:rRNA from 1 species
AUUGAACGCUGGCGGCAGGCCUAACACAUGCAAGUCGAACGAGUGGCGGACGGGUGAGUCAUGUCUGGGAAACUGCCUGAUGGAGGGGGAUAACUACUGGAAACGGUAGCUAAUACCGCAUACCAUCUGAUGUUCCCCGAUGGGAUUAGCUAGUAGGUGGGGUAACGGCUCACCUAGGCGACGAUCCCUAGCUGGUCUGAGAGGAUGCACAGCCACACUGGAACUGAGACACGGUCCAGACGCCUACGGGAGGCAGCAGUGGGGAAUAUUGCACAAUGGGCGCAAGACUGAUGCAGCCAUGCCGCGUGUAUGAAGAAGGCCUUCGGGUUGUAAAGUACUUUCAGCGGGGAGGCGUUACCCGCAGAAGAAGCACCGGCUAACGCCGUGCCAGCAGCCGCGGUAAUAC